CCACCUGACCCCAUGCCGAACUCAGAAGUGAAACGCCGUAGCGCCGAUGGUAGUGUGGGGUAUCCCCAUGCGAGAGUAGGGAACUGCCAGGC
rnacentral:rRNA from 1 species